UACGUAGGUGGCAAGCGUUGUUCGGAUUUACUGGGCGUAAAGGGCGCGUAGGCGGCCACCGCAAGUCAGUUGUGAAAUCUCUGGGCUUAACCCAGAAAGGUCAACUGAUACUGCGGGGCUAGAGUGCAGAAGGGGCAACUGGAAUUCUCGGUGUAGCGGUGAAAUGCGUAGAUAUCGAGAGGAACACCUGCGGCGAAGGCGGGUUGCUGGGCUGACACUGACGCUGAUGCGCGAAAGCUAGGGGAGCGAACGGG
rnacentral:rRNA from 1 species